UACGAAGGGGGCUAGCGUUGCUCGGAAUCACUGGGCGUAAGGCGCACGUAGGCGGAUUGUUAAGUCAGGGGUGAAAUCCUGGAGCUCAACUCCAGAACUGCCUUUGAUACUGGCGAUCUUGAGUCCGGGAGAGGUGAGUGGAACUCCGAGUGUAGAGGUGAAAUUCGUAGAUAUUCGGAAGAACACCAGUGGCGAAGGCGGCUCACUGGCCCGGUACUGACGCUGAGGUGCGAAAGCGUGGGGAGCAAACAGG
rnacentral:rRNA from 1 species